CCUCCCGGGCCCCGCGCAGGAAGCCAGACCGUCAGCCCCCUUUCUUCCUCUGCCCUAUUAAACCAAGAACUUUAGGAGCGGCAGGAGAGGCAGCAUGUGUCCUGUUUGCAGCGCUGAAAUGACACCAGGACGCCUGGGCACGGACGGAGGAGAGCAGAUGGUGCCCCGGUGCGCUGAAGGGCUGCACAAGGAUCACUGCUACUGUAAAGCUGCACGCAGGCAACAUCAAGAGAGAAUAGGAUUUGUGGCACCAACACUGAACCAAGACUAAGCUUCAGCCCUUUAUAUGGAACUGGUGAAAGAGGAAGCUGCAAUACUGAAAGCAGUCAGUCUUGACUGUGUGAGAGCAUGCCUCUCACAGAAGGCAAAUGAUGUCUUACUUCAAAAACAACUUCAUGAAACUCAAACUUGUUGAUUUACUGAUCUUAGAGCUGUUACACUUGAAUAACUCGGGAGCGGUAAAGUUAUGGUUCCUACUCACACCACUUUAAGGUUUAUAGUUUGAUUUACUUUAAAGACUACAGAAGUAAAAAGGAAAAAAGGCAAAAAUAUUCUUUUAGCAUAUAGGGGGUUUUUCCUCCUGCUAGCAGGAAGAGGUUUUUAGAUAAAUGGUGAACUAAAACUUAACAACUACAGGCCAGAACUUACAGAACAUUUUUUUUCACAGCUAGAAAAAGCCUCUGAAAACGUGAAGUUGCCAAUAAAAAGGAAUGCAACAGCAAAGUACAUAAUGCAGCAAUACUUGUAUGUUAUUGCAACAGCAAUAAUACGUGUCUAUCACAAAACUGCUUACAAAGGCAAACAGCAACCUCAUUUUAGGUAUGCUGUUCCAUGCACUGAGUAUGGAUAAUUUUACCUUCACCUCUGUCAGCAGAAGUAAGGUGUGCUUCAGGUUGUAAACUUGGAAAAGUUUCAUGAUUUAAGUAAUAGAUUGGACCUUUUGCUUUACAUUGUAUGUGUCUAGAUUAAGACAAAUGGCUGGUAACUUGUUCUGCUUUAAUUCCACAGUGCUUCACAGUUGUGUGCACGAUCUGCUAGGACGGUGAGACUACCACGUUUCCUUGGACAAGUAUCAGAACUUGAACUUGAACAAAGUGGGAUUAAGUUUUACUCAUUUUAGAAGAGCACUCCCAUCCAACAUACGGACAAAAUAGUUUGAAAAAGCACACUGCAUAAAUUGACAAUGAUUUUUAUUGUGUUUAGGAACAUUCAAUAAAUACCAAUCUUUUAGCUUCAGUUUGGAAAUCUUUCCCCAUCAAAAAUCAGUUAUUUGUGUUGUUUUUUUCUGGCAUAAAUUCCAUUGCCAGCAAUGGAUGUAUCAGAAAAAGAAGUUAAUAAAUACAAACAGACAGCUGUUUUCCAAACAUACCUCCUUUAAAGGCAUGAUACAGAUUUACUAAACAAAUCCCAAACAAGUUCUUCACAGAAGAAAAUUUUGCUAUAAGCUGUCUCUGAACAUUGUUUUCUUCACUAAUGCUGGUAGUUUAUUUCAUGGAGUAUGGUAUUUUUGACCAGUAAUGAUGAAUUGUUUAAAAACAAGUGUUUUCCCCCUCUUCCUUUGCCAAAUGUAUGCUGAGACAUAGCUAGUACUGAACUGUGUGAAUUUAAGAGUGGUGUGCCUCUUGUCAAGCACGUAUGGCAAACAUGAAGAAAUAGCAAUACGGUACUUUUUUUACUAGGGAUCUGGGGGAUUUAUUUUUUCAUCUUGAUUUUAAACCACUGUUCAAGUGUUAAAGAUAUAUUUAAG